UGAGUAACCUGCCCUUAACUCUGGGAUAAGCCUGGGAAACUGGGUCUAAUACCGGAUAUGACUCCUCAUCGCGUGGUGGGGGGUGGAGAGCUUUUUGUGGUUUUGGAUGGACUCGCGGCCUAUCAGCUUGUUGGUGAGGUAAUGGCUCACCAAGGCGACGACGGGUAGCCGGCCUGAGAGGGUGACCGGCCACACUGGGACUGAGACACGGCCCAGACUCCGUACGGGAGGCAG
rnacentral:rRNA from 1 species